AGCGAACGCUGGCGGCAGGCCUAACACAUGCAAGUCGAACGAACUCUUCGGAGUUAGUGGCGGACGGGUGAGUAACACGUGGGAACGUGCCUUUAGGUUCGGAAUAACUCAGGGAAACUUGUGCUAAUACCGAAUGUGCCCUUCGGGGGAAAGAUUUAUCGCCUUUAGAGCGGCCCGCGUCUGAUUAGCUAGUUGGUGAGGUAAAGGCUCACCAAGACGACGAUCAGUAGCUGGUCUGAGAGGAUGACCAGCCACAUUGGGACUGAGACACGGCCCAAACUCCUACGGGAGGCAGCAGUGGGGAAUCUUGCGCAAUGGGCGAAAGCCUGACGCAGCCAUGCCGCGUGGAUGAUGAAGGUCUUAGGAUUGUAAAAUCCUUUCACCGGUGAAGAUAAUGACUGUAGCCGGAGAAGAAGCCCCGGCUAACUUCGUGCCAGCCGCCGCAGUAACAC
rnacentral:rRNA from 1 species